ACAUGUAAUUCUUGACAAACACUGAUGCAUUGGAUCCCAUUAGAACUCCGUAGUUAUGCAUGUUUGAGUGAGAGUAGUGCUAGGAUGGGUAACCUCUUGGUAAGUCCUCGUGUCGCACCUC
rfam:Lupinus angustifolius cultivar Tanjil contig_12123, whole genome shotgun sequence.